rnacentral:rRNA from 1 species
GCGUGAGGAACCUGCCUUGGAGAGGGGGAAUAACACUCCGAAAGGAGUGCUAAUACCGCAUGAUGCAGUUGGGUCGCAUGGCUCUGACUGCCAAAGAUUUAUCGCUCUGAGAUGGCCUCGCGUCUGAUUAGCUAGUAGGCGGGGUAACGGCCCACCUAGGCGACGAUCAGUAGCCGGACUGAGAGGUUGACCGGCCACAUUGGGACUGAGACACGGCCCAGACUCCUACGGGAGGCAGCAUG